rnacentral:tRNA from 1 species
GGACAGGUGGCCGAGUGGCUGAAGGCGCACGCUUGGAAAGCGUGUUUAGGUGAAAGCCUAACCAGGGUUCGAAUCCCUGUCUGUCCGCCA